rnacentral:rRNA from 1 species
UGUGUAGGCGGUUGUUUAAGUUUGGUGUGAAAUCUCCCGGCUCAACUGGGAGGGUGCGCCGAAUACUGAAUGACUAGAGUGCGGGAGAGGAGAGUGGAAUUCCUGGUGUAGCGGUGAAAUGCGUAGAUAUCAGGAGGAACACCGGCGGUGUAGGCGGCUCUCUGGACCGUAACUGGCGCUGAGACACGAAAGCGUGGGGAGCAAACAGGAUUAGAUACCCUAGUAGUCCACGCCCUAAACGAUGCACAUUUGGUGUGGGUCAUUCAGUUGAUCCGUGCCGGAGCUAACGCGUUAAAUGUGCCGCCUGGGGAGUACAGUCGCAAGGCUGAA